rnacentral:rRNA from 1 species
AGUGAACGCUGGCGGUAGGCCUAACACAUGCAAGUCGAACGGCAGCACAGUAAGAGCUUGCUCUUACGGGUGGCGAGUGGCGGACGGGUGAGGAAUACAUCGGAAUCUACUUUUUCGCGGGGGAUAACGUAGGGAAACUUACGCUAAUACCGCAUACGACCUACGGGUGAAAGCAGGGGAUCUUCGGACCUUGCGCGAUUGAAUGAGCCGAUGUCGGAUUAGCUAGUUGGCGGGGUAAAGGCCCACCAAGGCGACGAUCCGUAGCUGGUCUGAGAGGAUGAUCAGCCGCACUGGAACUGAGACACGGUCCAGACUCCUACGGGAGGCAGCAGUGGGGAAUAUUGGACAAUGGGCGCAAGCCUGAUCCAGCCAUACCGCGUGGGUGAAGAAGGCCUUCGGGUUGUAAAGCCCUUUUGUUGGGAAAGAAAAGCAGCAGGUUAAUACCCCGCUGUUCUGACGGUACCCAAAGAAUAAGCACCGGCUAACUUCGUG